GACGAACGCUGGCGGCGUGCUUAACACAUGCAAGUCGAACGGAAAGGCCCCUUUGGGGGUACUCGAGUGCCGAACGGGUGAGUAACACGUGAGUAACCUGCCCUUGACUUCGGGAUAACUUCAGGAAACUGGGGCUAAUACCGGAUAGGAAUCCUUGCUGCAUGGUGGGGGUUGGAAAGCUUCGGCGGUUUUGGAUGGACUCGCGGCUUAUCAGCUUGUUGGUGGGGUAGUGGCUUACCAAGGCUUUGACGGGUAGCCGGCCUGAGAGGGCGACCGGCCACAUUGGGACUGAGAUACGGCCCAGACUCCUACGGGAGGCAGCAGUGGGGAAUAUUGCACAAUGGGCGGAAGCCUGAUGCAGCAACGCCGCGUGCGGGAUGACGGCCUUCGGGUUGUAAACCGCUUUCAGCAGGGGCGAAGCUUGUGGUGACGGUACCUGCAGAAGAAGCACCGGCUAACUACGUG
rnacentral:rRNA from 1 species